CAAUCAAACCGGGAGAUAGCUGGUUCUCCCCGAAAGCUAUUUAGGUAGCGCCUCGUGAAUUCAUCUCCGGGGGUAGAGCACUGUUUCGGCUAGGGGGCCAUCCCGGCUUACCAACCCGAUGCAAACUGCGAAUACCGGAGAAUGUUAUCACGGGAGACACACGGCGGGUGCUAACGUCCGUCGUGAAGAGGGAAACAACCCAGACCGCCAGCUAAGGUCCCAAAGUCAUGGUUAAGUGGGAAACGAUGUGGGAAGGCCCAGACAGCCAGGAUGUUGGCUUAGAAGCAGCCAUCAUUUAAAGAAAGCGUAAUAGCUCACUGGUCGAGUCGGCCUGCGCGGAAGAUGUAACGGGGCUAAACCAUGCACCGAAGCUGCGGCAGCGAACGUAUCACCCAAGACAACUUUACGGAGUUGACGAUUGACGGAGCGAAGCGACGUCAAAGCGUUCAUUAAAGUCGAGUUGGCUUAGGGAUACGUUCGUUGGGUAGGGGAGCGUUCUGUAAGCCUGUGAAGGUGUGUCGUGAGGCAUGCUGGAGGUAUCAGAAGUGCGAAUG
rnacentral:rRNA from 1 species